UAAUAAGAAAUCUUAAAGAAAUAUUAGAAUAAUUACAAACAUAUCUCAAAUACAUCUCAAUUCAAUCUUAAUUUAAUCCUAGUUGAAAUCUUAUUGGACUUCAUUCAAACUUUAGGCCAAAAAUUAAUGAAAUCUUAAAUCCUAAAUAAACUCAAAUAAAAUCCUAAAUUCUAAAUCAAAUCUUCAUCAAACCCUAACCAAAUCUUAAAUCCUAAACUAAAUCUCAAAUCAUAACCAAACUCUAAACCUUAAACCAAACCCUAAAUCUUAAACCAAAUCCUAAAUCUUAAACCAAAUCCUAAACAUUAAAUCAAAUCCUACACCUUAAACUAAAUCCUAAACCUUAAACCAAAUCCUAAAUCCUAAACCAAAUCCUAAUCAAAUCUUAAUCCUAAAUCAAAUCCUAACCAAAUCCUAAUCCUAAAUCAAAUUCUAACUAAACUCUAAUCCUAAAUCAAAUCCUAACCAAUCCUAACCAAACCCUAAAUCCUAAACCAAAUCUUAAAUAAAUCCUAAUCCUAAAUCAAAUCCUAACCAAAUCCUAAUCCUAAUUCUAAACCCUAAAUCAAACCCUAAUCAAAUCUUAAUCCUAAAUCAAAU
rnacentral:lncRNA from 1 species